rnacentral:rRNA from 1 species
GGAGGAUCCAAGCGUUAUCCGGAAUCAUUGGGUUUAAAGGGUCCGUAGGCGGUUUAAUAAGUCAGUGGUGAAAGCCCAUCGCUCAACGGUGGAACGGCCAUUGAUACUGUUAGACUUGAAUUAUUAGGAAGUAACUAGAAUAUGUAGUGUAGCGGUGAAAUGCUUAGAGAUUACAUGGAAUACCAAUUGCGAAGGCAGGUUACUACUAAUUGAUUGACGCUGAUGGACGAAAGCGUGGGUAGCGAACAGGAUUAGAUACCCUGGUAGUCCACGCCGUAAACGAUGGAUACUAGCUGUUGGGAGCAAUCUCAGUGGCUAAGCGAAAGUGAUAAGUAUCCCACCUGGGGAGUACGUUC